rnacentral:rRNA from 1 species
GACGAACGCUGGCGGCGUGCCUAAUACAUGCAAGUAGGACGCAGUUGCGAACGGGUGAGUAACGCGUAGGUAACUACCUAUUAGAGGGGGAUAACUAUUGGAAACGAUAGCUAAUACCGCAUACUAGUAGAUGGACCUGCGGUGUAUUGGCUAGUAGGUAGGGUAAUGGCCUACCUAGGCAACGAUACAUAGCCGACCUUAAGUGGGGGUCGGCCAGAAUGGGCAUGAGACACGGGCCAUAAGCCUACGGGAGGCAGACGUUGGGAAUCGUCGGGCAUGGGGGGAACCCUGACCGGGCAACUCCGCGUGAGUGACGAGUGUUUUCAGAUCGUAAAGCUCUUUUGUUAAGGAAGCGGUACUUAACCAGAAAGGGACGGCUAACUACGUGCCAGCAGCCGCGGUAAUAC